rnacentral:tRNA from 1 species
ACUUAAAUAGCUUAAAAUAGAGCAUGAUAUUGAAGAUAUUAAGGUAAUAGAAUUAUUUUUAAGUA